rnacentral:rRNA from 1 species
GCGAACGCUGGCGGCAGGCCUAACACCUGCCAGUCGAACGAACCUUUCGGGGUUAGUGGCGGACGGGUGAGUAACACGUGGGAACGUGCCUUUAGGUUCGGAAUAACUCAGGGAAACUUGUGCUAAUACCGAAUGUGCCCUUCGGGGGAAAGAUUAAUCGCCUUUAGAGCGGCCCGCGUCUGAUUAGCUAGUUGGUUGAGGUAAUGGCUCACCAAGGCGACGAUCAGUAGCUGGUCUGAGAGGAUGAUCAGCCACAUUGGGACUGAGACACGGCCCAAACUCCUACGGGAGGCAGCAGUGGGGAAUCUUGCGCAAUGGGCGAAAGCCUGACGCAGCCAUGCCGCGUGAAUGAUGAAGGUCUUAGGAUUGUAAAAUUCUUUCACCGGGGACGAUAAUGACGGUACCCGGAGAAGAAGCCCCGGCUAACUUCGUG